rnacentral:rRNA from 1 species
AGAGUUUGAUCAUGGCUCAGGAUGAACGCUAGCGGCAGGCCUAACACAUGCAAGUCGAGGGGUAGGGUUAGCUUGCUAACCUGAGACCGGCGCACGGGUGCGUAACGCGUAUGCAACCUACCUUGUACAGAGGGAUAGCCCAGAGAAAUUUGGAUUAAUACCUCAUAGUAUUAUCGAAUGGCAUCAUUUGAUUAUUAAAGUUCCAACGGUACAAGAUGAGCAUGCGUCCCAUUAGUUAGUUGGUAAGGUAACGGCUUACCAAGACGAUGAUGGGUAGGGGUCCUGAGAGGGAGAUCCCCCACACUGGUACUGAGACACGGACCAGACUCCUACGGGAGGCAGCAGUGAGGAAUAUUGGACAAUGGGCGCAAGCCUGAUCCAGCCAUGCCGCGUGCAGGAUGAAGCAUCUAUGGUGUGUAAACUGCUUUUAUACAGGAAGAAACCCUACCACGUGUGGUAGAUUGACGGUACUGUAGGAAUAAGGAUCGGCUAACUCCGUGCCAGCAGCCGCGGUAAUACGGAGGAUCCAAGCGUUAUCCGGAAUCAUUGGGUUUAAAGGGUCCGUAGGCGGUUUUGUAAGUCAGUGGUGAAAUCUGGUCGCUUAACGAUCAAACGGCCAUUGAUACUGCAAGACUUGAAUUAUUGGGAAGUAACUAGAAUAUGUAGUGUAGCGGUGAAAUGCUUAGAUAUUACAUGGAAUACCAAUUGCGAAGGCAGGUUACUAUCAAUAUAUUGACGCUGAUGGACGAAAGCGUGGGGAGCGAACAGGAUUAGAUACCCUGGUAGUCCACGCCGUAAACGAUGGAUACUAGCUGUUGGGCGCAAGCUCAGUGGCUAAGCGAAAGUGAUAAGUAUCCCACCUGGGGAGUACGAACGCAAGUUUGAAACUCAAAGGAAUUGACGG